UACGAAGGGGGCUAGCGUUGCUCGGAAUCACUGGGCGUAAAGCGCACGUAGGCGGAUCUUUAAGUCAGGGGUGAAAUCCCAAGGCUCAACCUUGGAACUGCCUUUGAUACUGGGGAUCUCGAGUCCGGAAGAGGUUGGUGGAACUGCGAGUGUAGAGGUGAAAUUCGUAGAUAUUCGCAAGAACACCAGUGGCGAAGGCGGCCAACUGGUCCGGUACUGACGCUGAGGUGCGAAGGCGUGGGGAGCGAACAGG
rnacentral:rRNA from 1 species